rnacentral:rRNA from 1 species
UACGGAGGGUGCAAGCGUUAUCCGGAUUUACUGGGUUUAAAGGGUGCGCAGGCGGAUAUGUAAGUCAGUGGUGAAAUCUUCCCGCUUAACGGGAAAACUGCCAUUGAUACUAUAUAUCUUGAAUGCUGUGGAGGUAAGCAGAAUAUGUCAUGUAGCGGUGAAAUGCUUAGAGAUGACAUAGAAUACCUAUUGCGAAGGCAGCUUACUACACAGUUAUUGACACUGAGGCACGAAAGCGUGGGGAUCAAACAGG